rnacentral:misc_RNA from 1 species
GAAAUGCGAUACGUAAUGUGAAUUGCAAAUUCAGUGAAUCAUCGAGUCUUUGAACGCACAUUGCGCCCCUUGGUAUUCCGGGGGGCAUGCCUGUCCGAGCGUCAUUUCUGCCCUCAAGCACGGCUUGUGUGUUGGGCCCCGUCCUCCGAUCCCGGGGGACGGGCCCAAAAGGCAGCGGCGGCACCGCGUCCGGUCCUCGAGCGUAUGGGGCUUUGUCACCCGCUCUGUAGGCCCGGCCGGCGCUUGCCGAUCAACCCAAAUUUUUAUCCAGGUUGACCUCGGAUCAGGUAGGGAUACCCGCUGAACUUAAGC